rnacentral:misc_RNA from 1 species
AGUCGUAGGUGAACCUGCGGAAGGAUCAUUAACACGUAUCCCAACGUUAAACAACCCUGUGAACGUUCAGCGUGUUCUUGCAGGACAUCAAAACAGCAAUCCCGAGUAAGGCGCUAAAGAAUUCCAGAUUUUGAUUUUGGGAAGUUUUGUGUGUAACGUGGACGCUGCAAUUGCACCCUGGUACCCUAGAGCACUCCCCUGUCUGAAAGCGGCAGGGAUCAAUGUUAGUCAAAGGUCCACACGACCGGCGGCCGGGGUGGAGGCGAAAGCCCCUACGUCAUCCCUAUGGACCCUUCGGGACUUGGCGAAAGCUGACUCCGUCAUAAAUCGAACAACUGCUAACAAUGGAUAUCUUGGUUCUC